ensembl:snoRNA SNORD42 Small nucleolar RNA SNORD42
AAGCAAAUGAUGUAAAAAUUACUAUUUAGAUAAUAAUGAGGUAAGUAAGGAACCACUGAUGCUC